rnacentral:rRNA from 1 species
GACGAACGCUGGCGGCGUGCUUAACACAUGCAAGUCGAACGGAAAGGCCCUGCUUUUGUGGGGUGCUCGAGUGGCGAACGGGUGAGUAACACGUGAGUAACCUGCCCUUGACUUUGGGAUAACUUCAGGAAACUGGGGCUAAUACCGGAUAGGAGCUCCUGCUGCAUGGUGGGGGUUGGAAAGUUUCGGCGGUUGGGGAUGGACUCGCGGCUUAUCAGCUUGUUGGUGGGGUAGUGGCUUACCAAGGCCUUGACGGGUAGCCGGGCUGGGCGGGUGACCGGCCACAUUGGGACUGAGAUACGGCCCAGACUCCUACGGGAGGCAGCAGUGGGGAAUAUUGCACAAUGGGCGGAAGCCUGAUGCGGCAACGCCGCGUGCGGGAUGACGGCCUUCGGGUUGUAAACCGCUUUCGCCUGUGACGAAGCGUGAGUGACGGUAAUGGGUAAAGAAGCACCGGCUAACUACGUG